rnacentral:rRNA from 1 species
UACGUAGGGUGCGAGCGUUGUCCGGAAUUAUUGGGCGUAAAGAGCUCGUAGGCGGUUUGUCGCGUCUGCUGUGAAAAUCCAGGGCUUAACCCUGGACCUGCAGUGGGUACGGGCAGACUGGAGUGCGGUAGGGGAGAUCGGAAUUCCUGGUGUAGCGGUGAAAUGCGCAGAUAUCAGGAGGAACACCGGUGGCGAAGGCGGGUCUCUGGGCAGUAACUGACGCUGAGGAGCGAAAGCGUGGGGAGCGAACAGG